rnacentral:lncRNA from 1 species
GGGACUUUGAACAAGCUUUUUAAUUUCUGUCCUUUUUUGUUCCUCAGCUGUAAARUGAGAAUUCUAACAGUGCUCCUGUGCCUUGUCCUGUCUGCUUGACGUUGUGAGCAUCUUGAUCAAGCGUCCAUGUGGAGCUUAGAGCAACAGAGCAGUCGGCUCUGUAGAAUUGCUGCAAUAUGGGUAUUGUAGAUUCUCCUGGGGACCUGUGCAGCAGCAAAGGAAUAACUGCGCUGAUGGCUAGGGAGAGCAGAAAGGCCUAUUUCUCCCAUGAUGGGACCAACCCUUUCUCACCAUCUUGCCUACUUGUACUGCACUGCUGGGAGGACACCAGUGAUAUGAGGUGCAGUGGUGAGUUGAAGCUGCUCCUCCCACUGCUACUGGUUUCUCCCUCUUGUGUGCAGGGCUUGAU